UACAGAGACCUCAAGCGUUAUCCGGAAUCAUUGGGCGUAAAGCGUGCCGAUAGGUGGUUUAUUAAGUUUUGGGUAAAAGCCAGAAGCUCAACUUCUGAGUUUGCUCAAGAUACUGAUAGACUAGAGGGGCAAAGAGGUGCUUGGAACGAAUGGUGUAGUAGUGAAAUGCGUUGAUAUCAUUCGGAACACCGAAAGCGAAGGCAGAGCACUGGGUGCCACCUGACACUGCUAGGACGAAAGCGUGGGGAGCGAAUGGG
rnacentral:rRNA from 1 species